AUUUCAGGCGGCAGCAAGCACGUCAACGGAAUCAACUGGAUUUGAUGUGGAGGUCAUGGCUGAAGCAAGUGCUGGGGACCCACUUCACGGCGCAUCUCACAAGGGGGUUGUCAUCCCCUGAUUCCAGGAAGAGGAAAACAAUGGACACAGACUUGCAUAGCGUAUUAGUACACCAGAUAUGGAUCUGCCAACAUGAACCCUCCUAACAUCCCUGUGGCAGCGUACCUGUAACCGCCCAGACUUCACACCACAUUAAUGUAGAACCACGGCACAACAUAAUAAAAUAGCUUAGGUUUAUUUGCCUCCCAUACAUAAUGGGAGGCAAAUAAACCUAUGCUAUUUCGUUAUUCCCACUCCGUCAUACUCCACUGUACAAUAAAUCGAUACAAUUAUA